UAGGUGGGAGGCUUUGAAGUGUGGACGCCAGUCUGCAUGGAGCCAACCUUGAAAUACCACCCUUUAACGUUUGAUGUUCUAACCUAGGCCCAUAAACUGGGUCGGGGACCGUGUCUGGUGGGUAGUUUGACUGGGGCGGUCUCCUCCUAAAGAGUAACGGAGGAGCACGAAGGUUGGCUAAGCAUGGUCGGACAUCAUGCGGUUAGUGCAAAGGCAUAAGCCAGCUUGACUGCGAGAGUGACGGCUCGAGCAGGUACGAAAGUAGGUCUUAGUGAUCCGGUGGUUCUGAAUGGAAGGGCCAUCGCUCAACGGAUAAAAGGUACUCCGGGGAUAACAGGCUGAUACCGCCCAAGAGUUCAUAUCGACGGCGGUGUUUGGCACCUCGAUGUCGGCUCAUCACAUCCUGGGGCUGAAGUAGGUCCCAAGGGUAUGGCUGUUCGCCAUUUAAAGUGGUACGCGAGCUGGGUUUAGAACGUCGUGAGACAGUUCGGUCCCUAUCUGCCGUGGGCGUUGGAAGAUUGAGAGGGGUUGCUCCUAGUACGAGAGGACCGGAGUGAACGCACCACUGGUGUUCGGGUUGUCAUGCCAAUGGCAUUGCCCGGUAGCUAAGUGCGGAAGAGAUAACCGCUGAAAGCAUCUAAGCGGGAAACUUGCCUCGAGAUGAGUCUUCCCUGUCGCUUUAAGCGACCUAAAGGAACGUUUAAGACUAAGACGUUGAUAGGCUGGGUGUGUAAGCGUAGCGAUACGUUGAGCUAACCAGUACUAAUGAACCGUGAG
rnacentral:rRNA from 1 species